rnacentral:lncRNA from 1 species
UAGUGCUGCUAUCACGACUAACAUUCUUAAGACAUUAUUGGGUGGUUCUCAAACGAUUUGUAAAAGAACUCAUCAUUCUAAUCAUAUAGGCAGUGAACCUAAAAUGAUAACAUAAAGCUUUCUCAUCAUUCAUUCAUACAUACAUACAUACAUAUAUUUGCUUUCUUUGAAAUUUUGAGUCAUAUGGACAUUAAAUGUCCCUUUCAUGAAAAACUUUGCUUAUGCCGGAAAGAUUCAAGGAAUCUAACUCGACCAUACAUACAUACAUACAUUGAUUCGUUAAGGGCUCGGGUUGUCCCAAACACGAAAUACAUUCAUUGAGUCGUUAUGGGUUCGGGUAGUCCCAAACACGACAAAAAGCAUUCACAUAGCAUCG